GUGGAUUAGAUACCCUAGUAGUCCACGCCGUAAACGAUGGGUGCUAGGUGUCACGGGCAUUGACUCCCGUGGUGCCGUAGCCAACGCAUUAAGCACCCCGCCUGGGAAGUACGGCCGCAAGGCUAAAACUCAAAGGAAUUGACGGGGGCCCGCACAAGCGGUGGAGCAUGUGGUUUAAUUCGACGCAACGCGAAGAACCUUACCUGGGCUAGAAAAUGCAGGAACCUGGGAGAAGUCUCGGGGUGCUCUUCGGAGAAUCUGUAGUUAGGUGCUGCACGGUCGUCGACAGCU
rnacentral:rRNA from 1 species